rnacentral:rRNA from 1 species
ACGGGGGGUGCAAGCGUUGUUCGGAAUUAUUGGGCGUAAGGAGCGUGUAGGCGGUUUGUUAAGUCUGAUGUGAAAGCCCUGGGCUCAACCCAGGAAGUGCAUUGGAAACUGUCAGACUUGAAUACGGGAGAGGGCAGUGGAAUUCCUAGUGUAGGAGUGAAAUCCGUAGAUAUUAGGAGGAACACCGGUGGCGAAGGCGGCUGCCUGGACCGAUAUUGACGCUGAGACGCGAAAGCGUGGGUAGCAAACAGGAUUAGAUACCCUGGUAGUCCACGCCGUAAACGAUGAGAACUAGGUGUUGCGGGUAUUGACCCCUGCAGUGCCGCAGCUAACGCAUUAAGUUCUCCGCCUGGGAAGUACGGUCGCAAGACUA